rnacentral:rRNA from 1 species
UGCGUAGGUGGCAGUGCAAGUCAGAUGUGAAAGGCCGGGGCUCAACCCCGGAGCUGCAUUUGAAACUGCUCGGAUAGAGUACAGGAGAGGCAGGCGGAAUUCCUAGUGUAGCGGUGAAAUGCGUAGAUAUUAGGAGGAACACCAGUGGCGAAGGCGGCCUGCUGGACUGUUACUGACACUGAGGCACGAAAGCGUGGGGAGCAAACA